rnacentral:rRNA from 1 species
CUGGCGGAAUGCUUUACACAUGCAAGUCGAGCGGCAGCGCGGGGGCAACCCUGGCGGCGAGCGGCGAACGGGUGAGUAACACAUCGGAACGUACCCUGUCGUGGGGGAUAACGAAUCGAAAGAUUCGCUAAUACCGCAUACGACCUGAGGGUGAAAGCGGGGGAUCGCAAGACCUCGCGCGAGAGGAGCGGCCGAUGUCGGAUUAGCUAGUUGGUGAGGUAAAGGCUCACCAAGGCGACGAUCCGUAGCGGGUCUGAGAGGACGGCCCGCCACACUGGGACUGAGACACGGCCCAGACUCCUACGGGAGGCAGCAGUGGGGAAUUUUGGACAAUGGGGGCAACCCUGAUCCAGCCAUUCCGCGUGAGUGAAGAAGGCCUUCGGGUUGUAAAGCUCUUUCGGCAGGAACGAAACGGUGGAGGCUAAUAUCCUUCAUCAAUGACGGUACCUGUAGAAGAAGCACCGGCUAACUACGUGCCAGCAGCCGCGGUAAUACGUAGGGUGCGAGCGUUAAUCGGAAUUACUGGGCGUAAAGCGUGCGCAGGCGGUUUUGUAAGACAGAUGUGAAAUCCCCGGGCUUAACCUGGGAACUGCGUUUGUGACUGCAAGACUUGAGUGCGGCAGAGGGGGGUGGAAUUCCACGUGUAGCAGUGAAAUGCGUAGAGAUGUGGAGGAACACCGAUGGCGAAGGCAGCCCCCUGGGUCGACACUGACGCUCAUGCACGAAAGCGUGGGUAGCAAACAGGAUUAGAUACCCUGGUAGUCC